GGGAUAACGUUUGGAAACGAACGCUAAUACCGCAUAAGACCACACUUCCACAUGGGAGAGGGGUCAAAGGAGCAAUCCGCUGAAAGAUGGGCUCGCGUCCGAUUAGAUAGUUGGGGGGGUAACGGCCCACCAAGUCGACGAUCGGUAGCCGGACUGAGAGGUUGAACGGCCACAUUGGGACUGAGACACGGCCCAGACUCCUACGGGAGGCAGCAGUGAGGGAUAUUGGUCAAUGGGGGAAACCCUGAACCAGCAACGCCGCGUGAGGGAAGACGGUUUUCGGAUUGUAAACCUCUGUCCUCUGUGAAGGUAAUGACGGUAGCAGAGGAGGAAGCUCCGGCUAACUACGUGCCAGCAGCCGCGGUAAUACGUAGGGAGCGAGCGUUGUCCGGAUUUACUGGGUGCAAAGGGUGCGUAGGCGGGUAAGCAAGUCAGAAGUGAAAUCCAUGGGCUUAACCCAUGAACUGCCUUUGAAACUGUUUAUCUUGAGUGAAGUAGAGGUAGGCGGAAUUCCCGGUGUAGCGGUGAAAUGCGUAGAGAUCGGGAGGAACACCAGUGGCGAAGGCGGCCUACUGGGCUUUAACUGACGCUGAAGCACGAAAGCGUGGGUAGCAAACAGGAUUAGAUACCCUGGUAGUCCAUGCCGUAAACGAUGAUUACUAGGUGUGGGGGGACUGACCCCCUCCGUGCCGGAGU
rnacentral:rRNA from 1 species